rnacentral:rRNA from 1 species
GAUGAACGCUGGCGGCGUGCCUAAUACAUGCAAGUCGAGCGAACAGACGAGGAGCUUGCUCCUUUGACGUUAGCGGCGGACGGGUGAGUAACACGUAGGUAACCUACCUAUAAGACUGGGAUAACUUCGGGAAACCGGAGCUAAUACCGGAUAAUAUUUCGAACCGCAUGGUUCGAUAGUGAAAGAUGGCUUUGCUAUCACUUAUAGAUGGACCUGCGCCGUAUUAGCUAGUUGGUAAGGUAACGGCUUACCAAGGCAACGAUACGUAGCCGACCUGAGAGGGUGAUCGGCCACACUGGAACUGAGACACGGUCCAGACUCCUACGGGAGGCAGCAGUAGGGAAUCUUCCGCAAUGGGCGAAAGCCUGACGGAGCAACGCCGCGUGAGUGAUGGAGGUCUUCGGAUCGUAAAACUCUGUUAUUAGGGAAGAACAAACGUGUAAGUAACUGUGCACGUCUUGACGGUACCUAAUCAGAAAGCCACGGCUAACUACGUG